AUCCAGAGAGACCAAGAUCAUGUUUCGACUCCAGGUUCCUCUUCCGGAAGUGUGCAGGGUGCUACAGAAUGCUGGGGGCUGGGGGAUAAGAAAGGACGUUGACAUUGCGGAUUAAGUGCGAAUGUGAGACUGACAGAAAGGAAAGAACAGGCAUUCCCCCCUGGGGUGUAUGGGGUGGCCCGAAAGUUGCUCACUCCUAUCACCUGGCCCAUGGCGACAAUCACUUUCCCCAAGUGCCCAGGCUGGCAUCCGCAUCGGAUCAGUUUCACAGUACGGGGGGAGAGAGCAGUGUUAUUCCCGUCCGUUUGAUGUCUUCUUACCGCGACCCCCUCCUCCGCCCACCCGCGAAGCUUGGAUUCAAUUCAAACCCAAACGCCUCCCCCCACCACCGAACCUCCAGCCCGCCGCUUACGUGCAUCCUUCAGGCCGGGCGAUGAAAAUGUCCGAAGCCAAGUCAGCGGGCGAUCCGAGCGUUGCUGCCCUUUGACCUGGAGAGGACAGCGAGGUGAGGUGGUGGACGGGGGGAGCCUCGGAGGGGGUGGGUGGUGAGGAGUGUGUUGCUGUCUCUCUACCUGUCCCUUGGUAAGAGUGUCUGUGGGAGAGGGGAAGGGAAGGGAAGGGUGCCUGUCUCUGUCUCCGGGCGGGUGACGGUUGGUGCUAGAAUGCUGCCGGAGUUUUGAAACAGCCCCGCGGCGCGAGCGAGAGCGCGCCGUCUGCACCCGGACCUCCCCGCUCAAACAGAACUGACCCCGGGGGUCGUGGAAACAAUCAGCCCAGACCCGCAAGCAUUUACAGACCAGUUUAUUACAGUCUUUGUACCCAAGCGGUGACAGAAGUACGCCGCCGUUAUGCUGAUAGGCCUGAUGGUUGUUAUUCCGGCGGAGGCGGGAGUCCUGAUCGUUGGGACCACGCGGGAAUCCCCAUUGCAGCCGACACUGAAGAAAUUGCCUGUGAACGAUACGCGUGGAAAGUCUCCGUUUCGAGUCAUGAAUUCGGAGGGUUCCAAUGAAAUUUGGGAUAAUCUACUCUUGACUCUUGGGUAACUAUUUGUCUCUACAAACUACCCGUUCCCUGUCAGUCCCUGAUCCGACCCGCAAUGAGGGAUCUCAUUGAAACUUGCAGCAUGCAGCACAGAGACAGACCCUUCGGUCCAACCAGCCGAUGCCAGCAUGAUAGCCGAAAUUAAUCUAGUUCCAUUUGCUAGCAUUGGACCUACCUGACCUACGUGACAUGAUGGUGACAGGGUACUUUGCAAUUCCACUCUGCUUGCCAGUUUUUUUCUCUCUCCCCUCUGCACUAAAUCUAUUCCUCCCCCGCCCGCCUUUUUAACUAACCACCUAAGGAGUCAGGCAGAAGCUUGGUUGCGAGCAGGAAUCCGCAUGGUGGGAGCUGAAUGCACAGGCCGUGUCCUGCAGCAACGGCAGAUUGAGCCCGAGCUGAAGCAACCAUAGCGGAUCAAGAGUGGGCCGGUUCACCAGUGAGGUAGUGGCGGCGAGUGCGGACGGUGAGGCAGCAGCAGUCGAUGGUGAGAGUGGGCCUUUCGCAUAUCCGAAGCUGCCUCCUGGGUGACCUAGCGAUUGGAGCAGCACUACUGUGGAGAUUAGGUUCAACAUUUUUAGGAAGAAAUGUCCAGAUUUUCAGAAGGAUUUGUGUGAGGAUGUACUUUUUGACACCACUACGCUAUCACCCAAGACUGAUGUCAUAUUCGUGACCCUUAAUACUGCAAGCUCAUGAGCAAACAGCCUAUUCCCUGACAAAAAGAAGAUCAUUGAUAAAGCAAUUGGAAAUGUUUGAUUCGACCAGAUACAGAUCAGCACAAUUUCAUGAACAACGUCCAAGUUCCAGUUCAUCUGCUUCCAAACAGAAGGUUGGCUCACAUCCAGGAGUGCAGCAGGGUAACAGACAGAUUCCCAUUGUGCCUGAGCAGAAAAAUAAUAAAUUCAUAAUCAAAAGAACUUGUACAGAUGAUAUUGUGUUUACCUGAUCUACAUCAGAUGGCAUAUUCAAGCUAAAUGAAUAAGAGAACAAAGGAGAAGCAACAUAGCCAGUCCAAAUUCCCUUCAAGCCUCAUUGUAUCACCCUGAUAACUCAUUCUUAUAUCAUUAUGUUGUCUGCAAACUUUUAAAUAUUAAAUUUGGUGUCCACAUUCAAAUCAGUGAUCCAGAUUGUGAACAGCUAGGAUCUAAACACAGACCCUUGAAAUACCCUACUCAUCACAUUGCGAACCUGAGAAUGACCCAUUUAUUUCUGCUCUGUUUUCUUUCCAUUAACCAAUUCUCAGUCUAUGCCAGUAUGUUACCCCGAUCCUAUGUACUACUGUUUUGUUCAUUAAUCCCUUGUAUGGGAUCUUAUUAACAGCCACUGAAAAUCCAAAUACACAACACCCAAUUGUACACCUUUAUCUACUCUAUUCAUACCACCCUCAAUAAAAU